GAUGAACGCUGGCGGCGUGCCUAAUACAUGCAGGUCGAGCGAACGGACGAGAAGCUUGCUUCUCUGAUGUUAGCGGCGGACGGGUGAGUAACACGUGGAUAACCUACCUAUAAGACUGGGAUAACUUCGGGAAACCGGAGCUAAUACCGGAUGAUAUUUUGAACCGCAUGGUUCAAAAGUGAAAGACGGUCUUGCUGUCACUUAUAGAUGGAUCCGCGCUGCAUUAGCUAGUUGGUAAGGUAACGGCUUACCAAGGCAACGAUGCAUAGCCGACCUGAGAGGGUGAUCGGCCACACUGGAACUGAGACACGGUCCAGACUCCUACAGGAGGCAGCAGUAGGGAAUCUUCCGCAAUGGGCGAAAGCCUGACGGAGCAACGCCGCGUGAGUGAUGAAGGUCUUCGGAUCGUAAAACUCUGUUAUUAGGGAAGAACAUAUGUGUAAGUAACUGUGCACAUCUUGACGGUACCUAAUCAGAAAGCCACGGCUAACUACGUG
rnacentral:rRNA from 1 species